rnacentral:lncRNA from 1 species
CGGGUUGAAUAAUCAAGAAGAUCCCAAUUCAUUCAAAGCUCUAACUAUCACUGAGCAACACAUGCUUCAAUGACAAUCUGAACUUCGAAUUAAUUUGUAAAACGGAAAUUCUUUAGAAACUUGAAGAUUAGAAAGAAUGGGUCAGAAUACUCGCACUUUCGAACAUUGAAAAGAAAGGUAUGAAUACUUGAAACAUAUACCAAAGGAAUGGAUCAGAAUAUUUGCAAUAUAUCCAAGAGAAGGGUUUAGGAUACUUGCCUUAAAUCUGACUCCAGUCUCAUAGCUCAACCUCAUCUUUCCACUUUCACAAUCUAUUCAUAUCAUAAUUUUUAGACCAUCUCUAGCCAUACUCUAUUCGCCACAUCGCUUCGCUUACUCGAUUCAUCCCUUAUUCAUUUUGCAAUACCAUUUCGACUUCCUGACGUUUUCGAGCAUACACGUCUCGUCCAAAUCCUUUACGAGAAAAAGAUAAUACUAUAGUCACUAAACAAUAUAUCGCAUAUACAUAUCACGUAU